rnacentral:tRNA from 1 species
GCCCCCGUAGCUCAGCCGGAUAGAGCAUGGGAUUUCUAAUCCCACGGUCGCAGGUUCGAAUCCUGCCGGGGGUA